UUUUUGUUAAACUCUUUGGUUUUUAACCAGAUUUUCCUGCAAUUUACAGCAGUUAUGCAAUGACAGAUGACGCCAUAGGAAUCCAGGACUUGCUCCCUCUGUGAACCAAGGCCUUUGCCACACCAGGCUCCUCCAUACAUGCCUAAGUGCCUCUUCCAGCUGGGCACAACAGAUGGAACAGGUCCGGGUCCUGCUAGGGCUUUGCCCUGCCCGCAAUGUGGUCCUGUUGCAUUCAGCAGAACCAGCUCUGGGUCCUCUGGGCCUUUGCUAGGACAUGGGCAGCAAUGUCUCAUUUUCCCAUGGUGCCUGAGGUAAGUGUUCUGGAGGAGGGCCUCAGUAAAUGUAAUUUUAAGAUAUGGAGUUACUAUCUUAGUUUUUUUGCCCAAGAGCUGGAGCACAUGCCAAAACCCUAACAGAACUGUAAUAUAAUAAAAGAAGAGAGGUCAUAAAAAUUAUGUAAAUCAUUUCCCCGUUUUUAUCUUUCUGCGGGUGUGUGCCGGUAUAAAAUAUGGGGUCAGAAGGAGUGACUUCCUCCUGGGCUGCAGACACACGUCUGCAUAAUGGGUCCCUCACAUCUUCUUGUGCCCCAUUUUCGUCCCUGCGAAGCUGCCCCUUCCCAGCCGUGUAUGAAUGAACAGAAGUGCCUUUCAUCCCCCACUUGCCAGGCGCUUCAAAAGGAACUACGAAAAUAGCAGCAACAAAAAUCCAGCCGCCUGCCAAAAGGCCCGCACACAUCCCAUUCUCACAGGCAUGCGAAAGGUUGGAGAGCUCAGCAAAAUUUUUAUGUACGGGAGCAGGCCCAAGGAAAACUCACACGCCAUAACCAAUUGUGGACAGAGGAUCAUCUAUCAGCAGACAAAUGCAGGAACUCCAGAAUGUCUCUCCUCAAAUGAAAUAAUAUAUCUUUGAAAGCCAAUGCCCGUUUUAGGCCUGAGGCCCAUAUAUCAAGCCUGAGAGGCUUGUGGAUACGCUCCAGGGCCAUUAACCUUCCACCUGUUUCCCCUUGUCCUUCAGGAUGAGACCCUGCCCUUGAUUUUACUCCCUUCCCCUGUUCAUCUUCCGACAGAGUGUAAAUGUAAAGCAGAGGGCCUGUGAAAUAAUUCAAAGGCAAUGGACCAGGGACAUGGUUACAAAUCUCUGCCACUGGCACUGUGACUUAUGCAGGCAGUUUGUCACACAUGAGCCAGGUGACCUCUGUGACAUAACAGAGAAAAAUAUCGCCCGAGAUCAAAAGAUGAGAUUCAGAGCACUCUAACUAACUCUGGUGUACACAGCCACACUAUAAGGUGGCCAAGGGUUUCCUCUCCUCCGAAUGCUGCUCACUCCGCUCGCUGGCGGGCGGGACACAGUCCUGCUAAUUUCAGUAAUAUCUUUUUCUCUCAUCUCUUUGGAAAUCUUUCCUGCAACCUGAACAUCAAAAUUUGCCUCCUUCUGAAGCCUCUCUUUUUCAAAAAAGGAAAGCCUGCUAGAGAUAAAACAGUCAGCGGCUGCAUCUACAGACAAUUUUUGUUGGGAAAAGUGCCAUAUAGUAUCGACAGUGACAACAAAUUGUAUUGUCCGGUGAACAUCUGUUUCCGACUCCCACACUGAUACUGCAGGUUGUAUACUUCUGAUUUAGUCUUCACAGGCUGCCCGAUCACAGAGGAACUGGAAAUUACUGAGAAAGAGGGAGAAUGAGAAACUCCACUGAAACUCCUGUUAACACUAAUUAGAGUUGUCAGCAUGCAGCGGAAUCAAAGGCAAAACAUGUGGAGCUCCCAGUGAAGUCAAGAGGAGAAGGGUAUUACUUAAAGGAGAGGCAUGCAAAUUAAAAAUAAAUGCUGUUCAAUGUUACCAAAUGAGCUAGUCACAUAAACACUCGCUUUGAGGUCUAAACCUUCCUACUGGGAACGCUCUUUCCGAAAGUUCAUUCCUAGUCAGGAGACAACAUUGUCCUUGACCACACCUGCCAAACGAGAACCCAUCUUGUGAAUGACGGGUCCAAAGCAAUGUAAAGUAAUUGCCGUGUGUUUAUUUCUACUUAAAAUUGAUAUUACUGUUGUUGCUGUUGUUAAUAUUCUUGUUGUUUAUUUGCUGUGUUAUAAACAAGGACCACUGUUUUCAAAGUCUUGCAGCAGAAAGGCAGUGCUACUCCUUAGAGCAAUUUUGGAUUGCUCAAAGACUAGAAAGUCUGUGUAGAAUCUU